UAGAGUUUGAUCCUGGCUCAGAACGAACGCUGGCGGCAGGCUUAACACAUGCAAGUCUAACGGGUGUAGCAAUACAUCAGUGGCAGACGGGUGAGUAACACGUGGGAACCUUCCUCGUUGUACGGAACAACUCAGGGAAACUUGAGCUAGUACCGUAUACGUCCGGGAGGAGAAAGAUUUAUCGCAAUGAGACGGGCCCGCGUCGGAUUAGCUAGUUGGUGGGGUAACGGCCUACCAAGGCGACGAUCCGUAGCUGAUCUGAGAGGAUGAUCAGCCACACUGGGAGUGAGACACGGCCCAGACUCCUACGGGAGGCAGCAGUGGGGAAUCUUGGACAAUGGGCGCAAGCCUGAUCCAGCCAUGCCGCGUGAGUGAAGAAGGCCUUAGGGUUGUAAAGCUCUUUUGCCAGGGACGAUGAUGACGGUACCUGGAGAAUAAGCCCCGGCUAACUUCGUGCCAGCAGCCCCGGUCAA
rnacentral:rRNA from 1 species